rnacentral:rRNA from 1 species
GACGAACCGUGCGAACGUUGUUCGGAAUCACUGGGCUUAAAGGGCGCGUAGGCGGGUGUGCAAGUCUGCGGUGAAAGCCUCCAGCUUAACUGGAGAAGUGCCGUGGAUACUGCAUAUCUUGAGGAGGGUAGGGGCAUCUGGAACAUUGGGUGGAGCGGUGAAAUGCGUCGAUAUCCAAUGGAACUCCGGUGGCGAAGGCGAGGUGCUGGACCCUUUCUGACGCUGAGGCGCGAAAGCCAGGGGAGCAAAGCGGG